GAACGGGUGAGUACACGUGGGUGAUCUGCCCUGCACUUUGGGAUAAGCCUGGGAAACUGGGUCUAAUACCGAAUAGGACCACGCGCUUCAUGGUGUGUGGUGGAAAGCUUUUGCGGUGUGGGAUGGGCCNGNNNCCUAUCAGCUUGUUGGUGGGGUAAUGGCCUACCAAGGCGACGACGGGUAGCCGGCCUGAGAGGGUGACCGGCCACACUGGGACUGAGAUACGGCCCAGACUCCUACGGGAGGCAGCAGUGGGGAAUAUUGCACAAUGGGCGCAAGCCUGAUGCAGCGACGCCGCGUGAGGGAUGACGGCCUUCGGGUUGUAAACCUCUUUCAAUAGGGACGAAGCGCAAGUGACGGUACCUAUAGAAGAAGCACCGGCCAACUACGUGCCAGCAGCCGCGGUAAUACGUAGGGUGCGAGCGUUGUCCGGAAUUACUGGGCGUAAAGAGCUCGUAGGUGGUUUGUCGCGUUGUUCGUGAAAACUCACAGCUUAACUGUGGGCGUGCGGGCGAUACGGGCAGACUAGAGUACUGCAGGGGAGACUGGAAUUCCUGGUGUAGCGGUGGAAUGCGCAGAUAUCAGGAGGAACACCGGUGGCGAAGGCGGGUCUCUGGGCAGUAACUGACGCUGAGGAGCGAAAGCGUGGGGAGCGAACAGGAUUAGAUACCCUGGUAGUCCACGCCGUANACGGUGGGUACUAGGUGUGGGUUCCUUCCUUGGGAUCCGUGCCGUAGCUAACGCAUUAAGUACNNNGCCUGGGGA
rnacentral:rRNA from 1 species